UCUUUCUCUCUCUCUCAUUCUCUCUCUCAAAUAAAUCAAUUUAAAAAAUCUUAAAAAAAAAGGAAUUGCUUUACCCAUGUCAAACUAGAAAGUACAUGGAAUGAAAGGAAUGAUGAGAUAAGACUAAAAUUUACUUCUUGCUUCCACAUUUGCAGACACAUUCUGUUUCAAAUUUUCUAUUUUCUGGGACAGAAGAAUUUUCCCUUAGAAUGAGGAACUUCUAAGACUCUAUCCAAGAGAUGCCAUGUGAAAAGAUAAAAAGUGAUCUCCAGGAUAUACUCUGUAGUGAUUAAAAUCAUGGGGCAGAAAACUGAGUGGAGCUGUUGCUGUCCAGUACAGUAGGCACUGGCCACCAUGACUAUUUAAAUGUAAGUUAAUCAAAUUUAGAAUAAAUUAAAAAUUGAUGUCCUUAGUCCCACUCACCACAUUUCAGGUGUUCCACAGCCACAGGUAACUAAUGGCUACUAUGUUGGACAAGGAAGACUGACAAAACCAGAACAGAAUCUCUAAGCACAAUGGGACAACUACGAAAGGAGUAACAUACAUGUCACGGGAUUACAAAAAGGGAAGGAAGAAAGGAACAGAAGAAAUAUUUGAAAAAAACUACUAAGAUUUUCCCCACCUUAAUGCCAGACAACAAACCACAGACCCAGGAAGAACAGAGAACACCAAGCUUGAUAUACGCCCCCCAAAAUUUAUACCUUGCCACCUCAUUUUCAAACUACAGAAAAUCAAAAAUAAAGAAAAUAUCACGAAAGAAGCCAAAGGAAACACCUUCCCUAUAGAAGAGCAAAGAUAAGAAUCAUAUCUGACUUCUCAGAAAACAUACAAGCAAGAAGAGAAAAAGAUCCACCAAUCUUGACAUCUGUACCUGUCAAAUUGUCCUUCAGAAGAAACAGAGAAAAUAAAGACAUUCUCAGAAAACCAAAAAUUGAGGAAAUGUGUUAUCAGUUGACGUGCCUUGCAAGAAAUAUUAGGAGUUCUUUACAGAGAAAGAAAAUGAUAUAGGUCAGAAACUCAGAUUUACAUAAAGACUGGAAGAGCUUUGAAGAAGGAAUAAGUGAAAGUAAAAUAAAAACUUUUCUUUUUCUUAUUUUUAAUUGAUUUAACAGAAAACAGUUUUGUUUGAAAUUAGAACAUCAAGAAUGCAUUCAACUGUAUAUGGUCUUAUGUAAAUAUAUACACUGAUAUAUUUUAUGUGUAAGUGAAAUGAGAUGAAUAACAACAAUGAUAGCAGGGAUGGGAAGAAUGAAUUUGGAUUAUUUUGUUAUUAAAAAUACUUGCUCUA